UGCCAUCAGCCGCGGUAAUACGGAGGGUCCAAGCGUUAAUCGGAAUUACUGGGCGUAAAGCGCGCGUAGGCGGUUUAGCAAGUUGUUUGAAAGCCCUGGGCUCAACCUAGGAACUGCAUCCAAAACUACUAAGCUAGAGUACGAGAGAGGAGAGUAGAAUUUCUGGUGUAGCGGUGAAAUGCGUAGAUAUCAGAAGGAAUACCAAUGGCGAAGGCAGCUCUCUGGCUCGUAACUGACGCUGAGGUGCGAAAGCGUGGGUAGCAAACAGGAUUAGAUA
rnacentral:rRNA from 1 species